AUGGAGGGGAGUGGCGGGUCCUCGUCGCUGCCGCCGUUCCUCACCAAGACGUACGAGAUGGUGGACGAGCCGGCCACGGACGCGGUGGUCGCGUGGACGCCGUCCGGCACCAGCUUCGUCGUCCUCAGCCAGGCCGACUUCUGCCGGGAUCUUCUCCCCAAGUACUUCAAGCACAACAACUUCUCCAGCUUCGUGCGCCAGCUCAACACCUAUGGCUUUAGGAAGGUAGAUCCAGAACAAUGGGAAUUUGCAAAUGAAGAAUUCAUACGAGACCAGCGGCAUCGGUUGAAAAAUAUCCAUAGACGCAAGCCAAUAUUCAGCCAUUCAUCACAUACUCAGGGUGCCGGACCAUUAGCUGAUAGUGAAAGGAGGGACUAUGAGGAGGAAAUUGAGAGGCUCAAGUGUGAUAAUGCAUCACUAAAGUUACAGCUUGAAAGGAAGAAAACUGAUAUGGAGAGUAAAAUGAAGGCUUUGGAAGACAAACUAUUUGCUAUCGAGGGUCAGCAGAAAAAUCUUAUAUCUUAUGUCAGAGAAAUUGUGAAUGCACCUGGAUUUAUUUCUAGCCUCAUAGAACAAUCUGAUCAUCACGGAAAGAAGAGGAGACUGCCUAAACCAAUUUCAUUCCAUGAGGAUGCAAGUACUCAGGGGAACCAGAUUAUGCAUUGUGACAUGGUCAACUCACCAACUCAUGAACUUUUUAGGGCAUCAUUUGACAAAAUGGAAUCAUCCUUAAAUUCCUUGGAGAAUUUCUUCAAAGAAGCGAGCGAGGCAUUUGGUAAUGAUGUUUCAUAUGAUGGUGAUGUCCCAGGUCAUUCUUCAGCUGUUGUUCUUACAGAGCUCCAUUCAUCUGGGGAGAGUGAGCCCCACGCGCAAUCACCUCCGUCCAUGAUGCAUACUUGUUCAGCUGGUGUAGGAGAUUCACACUCUUCUCGCGAUAUAGCAGAGUCCGCCAGCUGUCCAGAGAGUUCUCCGCUUCCCGAAGCUCAUUCUCGUGCAGAUUCACGAUCUAAGGUCUCCGAGAUAGAUGUCAAUUUGGAACCUGCUGUUACAGAAACUGGUCCAUCGAGAGAUCAACAACCCACCCAAGACCCUCCUGCUGAUGCAAAUGAUGGAUUUUGGCAGCAGUUUCUUACCGAGCAGCCUGGGUUAUCCCAUGCACAUCAGGAGGCCCAAUCAGAACGGCGAGACAGAGAAGCAAAUCAAACAACAGCAGGAGACCGCGGAAGUUUUUGGUGGGGCAAGAGCGUCGAACAGAUGACAGAAAAACUGGGGCAUCUCACCUCAGCUGAGAAAACCUGA
rnacentral:rRNA from 1 species